GGGACUUCCUGGCCUGGGUGUUCUGUGUCAUGAUCUGGGUGCUGGUUGUAAGCAUUAGUGAAAAACCCUCCAAGCUGCUAGGCUUCAGAUGUGUGCAGGGCACUGCUGACUGCAGCCUGCUCAUGGGCAGGGGCUGGAACCCCUCAAAGAGAGAAGACCCAGGACCCCCGGCAGAACCCGCUGCCCAGAACCACACAGGCAGGGCCUGAGCUUGCAAAGAGCCUCCAUGGAUGGACUGCCAAUGGUAAAACUAUCCUCAGCAGCUUGGGCCAUUCUCAGCUCCUCCUAAGCCCCCCAGAUUCCUGGAUCUCCCGGAAUUCCUGGAUUUCUGGGCCUGAGCAGCAACCCCACCAACAGCCUAUCCAUAGACCUGGGAAUUCCACAGCAGUCUCUCCUGCCCUGCACCAGUACACACACCCUCUCUCCUGGUCUCUCACUCAUCCUCUUGUCCAAGUUUUGUUGAUUUUCUUGCUCUUCUUCAAGAAUUGAGUUUUGAAUAAAUUCACCAUGCCAAUCCUUAA